rnacentral:lncRNA from 1 species
AUAAGGGAUCAUGACUGUACACUAUAUGCUACUUCCCUCUCCAGCAAAUUGACAAUGAGGUUGUAUUGUCGGUGGAAAAAUCUGGUGUUUUUAUCUCUUUCACUUAACCUCUGCGUAGCUAUUUGUUCCUAUUCCCCUAAUAAAAAAAUCCUUCUUGAGAGUUCCUUUAUGUGAUAAAUCUCUGAAAUCUUCCACUUGUUCAAUUACUGUUAAUUCUUUGAUUCUACCAAGAUCUUUUUCUUCCUCUAAUAUCCUAAAGUCCUCUUUGUUCCAUCUUCUGAUUGUACCCUUAUGGUGACCAUUUUGGUUUCACCACUCUUAUUUCUUUUGAACAAGGAGUAGUAUUGAGCAAAUCUCAGUGACUGCUCUCCUGGAAAA